GAUGAAGAACGUAGCGAAAUGCGAUACUUGGUGUGAAUUGCAGAAUCCCGUGAACCAUCGAGUCUUUGAACGCAAGUUGCGCCCGAAGCCAUUAGGCCGAGGGCACGCCUGCCUGGGCGUCACACGUCGUUGCCCCCCCAUCUACUCCUUCGGGAUUGCGAGGGGCGGAUGAUGGCCUCCCGUGCGCCUCGUCGCGCGGUUGGCAUAAAUACCAAGUCCUCGGCGACGCACGCCACGACAAUCGGUGGUUGCGAAACCUCGGUUGCCCGUCGUGUGCGGUCGUCGCGCAUCGAGGGCUCGAAAAAAUUGCCGGGCUCCGGCUCGGCUUUCAACGCGACCCCAGGUCAGGCGGGGUUACCCGCUGAAUUUAAGCAUAUCAAUAACGGAGGA
rnacentral:misc_RNA from 1 species